GCGGCAGCAGGAGCUGUGGCGGUUUUCCUAAUCCUGCGAGUAUGGGUAGUGCUUCGUUCCAGGGACGUUACGCCCCGGGAGUCUCUCAGUAUCUUGGUAGUGGCUGGGUCCGGUGGGCAUACCACCGAGAUCCUGAGGCUGCUUGGGAGCUUGUCCAAUGCCUACUCACCUAGACAUUAUGUCAUUGCUGACACUGAUGAAAUGAGUGCCAAUAAAAUAAAUUCUUUUGAGCUAGAUCGAGCUGAUAAAGACCCUAGUAACAUGAGGCGGGGUCUCACUGUCUGCCCAGGCUGGGGUGCAGUGGUGCAAUCAUAGCUCACUGCGUCUUUGAAUUCCUGGGCUUAAGCGGUCCUUCUGCCUCAGCCUCCCAAGUAACUGGGACUACAGGAUUUUUCAGUCGUGUGGCAUUCACUAAAUAAUAAAUGUAUGUUUCAGUGUGUGGUA
rnacentral:sRNA from 1 species